GACAGAGGGUGCAAACGUUGCUCGGAAUCACUGGGCGUAAAGGGCGCGUAGGCGGGAAUGUAAGUCGGGCGUGAAAUCCCCAGGCUCAACCUGGGAACUGCACUCGAAACUGCGUUUCUUGAGUAUCGGAGAGGAAAGCGGAAUUCCUGGUGUAGAGGUGAAAUUCGUAGAUAUCAGGAGGAACACCAGUGGCGAAGGCGGCUUUCUGGACGGUAACUGACGCUGAGGCGCGAAAGCGUGGGGAGCAAACGGG
rnacentral:rRNA from 1 species